rnacentral:rRNA from 1 species
AACAAACGCUGGCGGCGUGCCUAAUACAUGCAAGUCGAACGGGGAAAGCUUUCGGGUGAGUACUAGUGGCGCACGGGUGAGUAACGCGUGGAUAAUCUGCCCUCGAAUGGGGAAUAACUAGUCGAAAGAUUAGCUAAUACCGCAUAAGACCACGACUACUGAGGUAGUUGGGGUCAAAGGAGCAAUUCGUUUGAGGAUGAGUCCGCGUAAGAUUAGCUAGUUGGUGAGGUAAUGGCUCACCAAGGCGAUGAUCUUUAACUGGUCUGAGAGGAUGAUCAGUCACACUGGAACUGAGACACGGUCCAGACUCCUACGGGAGGCAGCAGUAGGGAAUAUUGGACAAUGGGGGCAACCCUGAUCCAGCGACGCCGCGUGAGCGAUGAAGGCCUUCGGGUCGUAAAGCUCUGUUGUAAGGGAAAAAGUUCUGAUUGUACCUUACGAGAAAGGAUCGGCUAACUUCGUGCCAGCAGCCGCAGUAAGAC